AUGUAUAUGUACGACCCAGAUAAGCGGGCCGGGGUGCAUAUGCUCUAUUUUAUAUUUUCGCUCGACCCUGGCCUCCAGGCCGAGGCGUCGCUCCGGGACUCCAGGGCUGACGGGCUCGCCGUGGGGCACGGCGGGGCCCGCCUUCAGGGAGCGGAAGGCCGUCCGAGGCAUCCGGAUCACCGUCCGCUUGGGACGACGGCGGCGAGGGGAGUCGGGCGGCGGCGGGGGCUGCAUCCUCUCCUCUCCUCUCGGCUUCGCUCGUGUGCUCGCUGCUCUGUGCUGUGGCCUCUCGCUCGCCUCGCCCCGUGUUGUGGAAGCGUGCGAGUGCAACCGACUGGAUCUGAAAUAGAUUUUUCUGUUUUGGAGGGGGCAUCUGAAAUAGAUUUGCAGUCCUAG
rnacentral:rRNA from 1 species